GCAGUGGCCUGGCUCUGCCGCUGGCAUCGAAAGGGUGCGAGAGGAAAGUCCGGGCAGCAUAGGACGUCCCACUUCUGAAAAUGGAAGCUGUUGGUGACAAUAGGUAAAGGUAGAAGAAAAUAACCGCCCCUGGGUGUGCUGUUUUUCAGUGUGCGCGAUGGGGUAAGGGUGAGAAGGCGGUGUAAGAGACCACCAACCGAUGGGCGAUCAUCGGGUUGUACCUUCUGGGAGCUGCAAGUUCGCGUAUACCAUCGUUUGAAGGUUGUCCGCCUGAAACAUGUUUACGAUGGAGGGUAGAAUGCUUGAGCCAUGGGGUGACCUAUGGUCUAGAUAAAUGGCAGGCACUUUUAGUCCUUGUGACAUUGAAGUACAGAACCCGGCUUAUAGGGCCACUGCUUUC
rnacentral:RNase_P_RNA from 1 species